GAUAUUGCACAAUGGAGGAAACUCUGAUGCAGCGAUGCCGCGUGGAGGAAGAAGGUCUUCGGAUUGUAAACUCCUGUUAUCGGGGACGAAGAUGACGGUACCCGACGAGGAAGCUCCGGCUAACUACGGGCCAGCAGCCGCGGUAAUACGUAGGGAGCGAGCGUUGUCCGGAAUUACUGGGUGUAAAGGGAGUGUAGGCGGGGUAGCAAGUCAGGUGUGAAAACUAUGGGCUCAACCCAUAGACUGCACUUGAAACUGUUAUUCUUGAGUGAAGUAGAGGUAAGCGGAAUUCCUAGUGUAGCGGUGAAAUGCGUAGAUAUUAGGAGGAACAUCAGUGGAGAAGGCGGCUUACUGGGCUUUUACUGACGCUGAGGCUCGAAAGCGUGGGGAGCAAAC
rnacentral:rRNA from 1 species